GUGGGCAAACAAGUUUCAUGAUUGGUGCAAUGCACUUAUUGGCCUGAAACAGUAACAGAAUGAAGAAAAGAGCUGCGUCCAUAUUUAUACACGUUAAU